rnacentral:rRNA from 1 species
GCCAGACUCCUACGGGAGGCAGCAGUGAGGAAUAUUGGUCAAUGGUCGGGAGACUGAACCAGCCAAGCCGCGUGAGGGAGGAAGGUACAGAGUAUCGUAAACCUCUUUUGUCAGGGAACAAAGGCGGGGACGUGUCCCCGGAUGAGUGUACCUGAAGAAAAAGCAUCGGCUAACUCCGUGCCAGCAGCCGCGGUAAUACGGAGGAUGCGAGCGUUAUCCGGAUUUAUUGGGUUUAAAGGGUGCGCAGGCGGAGGUGCAAGUCAGCGGUCAAAUUGCGGGGCUCAACCCCGUACUGCCGUUGAAACUGGUGAUCUUGAGUGGGCGAGAAGUAUGCGGAAUGCGUGGUGUAGCGGUGAAAUGCAUAGAUAUCACGCAGAACUCCGAUUGCGAAGGCAGCAUACCGGCGCCCGACUGACGCUGAGGCACGAAAGCGUGGGGAUCGAACAGGAUUAGAUACCCCCGUACGC